AAUCACACCAAACACACACUUAGGUGUGUGUCUGGUCGAUCUCAACAACAGGGCGACACAAGGGUUCCCUCACAAACCCUAGUUCAUGCUAAAUCUAACAAAUUGAAGGUCAAGAUCAAUUCUAAAUCAAAAUCUGAGUACGAAAUAGUGAUCUCCAUUGAAAAGGAGUCAUAAGGCAAGGAAUCCGGAUCCUCUAGCGGACAAGCCGGUGGUGAUACGCGUUUGAAGGGUGUGCUCUAAAGGUAAAGAUGCACUUUAGACCCCGGAGGAUGAUCAAGCCAUGUCAAGAACCGAACACACCAAACAAAGCUUCCGCAUUUUGUAUAUUUUGUUUUUGUGACAUGUAAACACUUGAAAUUAUGUUUUGAAAGUUUAUCUAGUAGGAUGUUGACUUGAAUGUUAUGAUCAAGUAUGAUCUUAAAACUAAAAAGAUUUUUGUAAACUCGGAAUUCUUGUACUAAUUGCAUGUUAUAUAUUAUUAAUUC